rnacentral:rRNA from 1 species
UUCCGGUUGAUCCCGCCAGAGGUCACUGCUAUCGGUGUCCGAUUAAGCCAUGCGAGUCGAGAGGUGUAAGACCUCGGCAGACUGCUCAGUAACACGUGGAUAACCUGCCCAAGGGUCCGGGAUAACCCCGGGAAACUGGGGAUAAUACCGGAUGGGUCACCAGUGCUGGAAUGCUUGGUGGUCGAAAGGUGACGCCUUUGGAUGGGUCUGCGGCGGAUUAGGUUGACGCCGGUGUAACGUACCGGCGUGCCUGUAAUCCGUACGGGUUGUGGGAGCAAGAGCCCGGAGAUGGAUUCUGAGACACGAAUCCAGGCCCUACGGGGCGCAGCAGGCGCGAAAACUCUACAAUGCAGGCAACUGCGAUAGGGGGACAUCGAGUGGCAUCCACCUUGGGUGUCUGUCCAACCGUCUAAAAAACGGUUGUUAGCAAGGGCCGGCAAAGACCGGUGCCAGCCGCCGCGGUAAUAC